GGGUAUUUUAUAACAAAUUAUUUUGGUAAUUUAAGUUAAUUUUUUUAAAUAAAGUUUUUAAUGAGUUUUAACAAAAAAAAAAAAAAAAAAAAAAAGAACUUACAAGUAUAUUUUCAUAUUUUAUUUUAUAAAUUUUCCAGAGAUUAGUCUCCUAGUUAAACCCUAAUACCCUAAAUUAUAUAUACCCUUGUACCCUCAAAAAAUUUCCUACGUGAUUCUCAAAGAAAAAGAAAAUUCAUCUCCCUAAAAACACUUCUGCCGCCAUCUCCCGUUCAUUGAUUCUGAGGAAGACUACUUAGGAACCACGCAAGGAGACUACUAGUUUGAGUACGUGCGCGUUCAAGGUUGGUAAAGGUACUUAGCUACGAGUGAGGAGACGCUUAGAUUAACCACCUAGUCAGGAGACAAUUUCUAUUGAUUAAUAUUUUGGAUUUGUUCUUUAUUUUUAUGGGAUUUGGUUGUAAUAUUUUGUUGGCCACCUUUAGACCACUUAGUUAAUUUUGACUUUAAUGGUUUUAAAUUGUUUUGUUGGUUUGCAUUUAUUUUCUAUGGAGAAUAAAUGUAGCAGUGACGC